GAGCGUUGUUCGGAAUUAUUGGGCGUAAAGGGUGCGUAGGCGGUUUGGUAAGUCUGAUGUGAAAUCUAUGGGCUCAACUCAUAGUCUGCAUCGGAAACUGCCGGGCUUGAGUAUGGGAGAGGUGAGUGGAAUUCCUGGUGUAGCGGUGAAAUGCGUAGAUAUCAGGAGGAACACCUGUGGCGAAAGCGGCUCACUGGACCAUAACUGACGCUGAGGAGCGAAAGCGUGGGGAGCGAACAGG
rnacentral:rRNA from 1 species